rnacentral:tRNA from 1 species
GGAAGGAUGGGAGAGUGGUUUAAUCCAGGCGUCUCGAAAACGCCCAGGCUGAAAGGCCUCGCAGGUUCAAAUCCUGCUCCUUCCG